UACGUGCUAAACAAUUAAGUUCAACGGAUGGUGACGUGAUUAUUAAGUUACAAGUGACGUGUUAAGUUACAAUGGUCAUCAUUUACAUAGACAUCCUACUUCUUAUCAUCUUGCUAGCUCUUAUUAUAUUCACGUGUGGUUACUCUGUGUAUAGAGUACAUCGGUUACAACAGAACGGACAGGUGGCAAUUUUACUAAAACCAACAAGGGUACUAUUUUCACAUAAGAAAGAAGGAGAGUCUACGGAGGAAUUACG